rnacentral:rRNA from 1 species
UGGGGAAUUUUGGACAAUGGGCGCAAGCCUGAUCCAGCCAUGCCGCGUGCGGGAAGAAGGCCUUCGGGUUGUAAACCGCUUUUGUCAGGGAAGAAAUCUUCUGAGUUAAUACCUCGGGAGGAUGACGGUACCUGAAGAAUAAGCACCGGCUAACUACGUGCCAGCAGCCGCGGUAAUACGUAGGGUGCAAGCGUUAAUCGGAAUUACUGGGCGUAAAGCGUGCGCAGGCGGUUUUGUAAGACAGAGGUGAAAUCCCCGGGCUCAACCUGGGAACUGCCUUUGUGACUGCAAGGCUUGAGUGCGGCAGAGGGGGAUGGAAUUCCGCGUGUAGCAGUGAAAUGCGUAGAUAUGCGGAGGAACACCGAUGGCGAAGGCAAUCCCCUGGGCCUGCACUGACGCUCAUGCACGAAAGCGUGGGGAGCAAACAGGAUUAGAUACCCUGGUAGUCCACGCCCUAAACGAUGUCAACUGGUUGUUGGGAAGGUUCCUUCUCAGUAACGUAGCUAACGCGUGAAGUUGACCGCCUGGGGAGUACGGCCGCAAGGUUGAAACUCAAAUGAAUUGACGGGGUCAUAGCUGUUU